GCUACAAAUUUGAUUGCAAAGAGCUUUUCAGGGCGAAUUGCAUUAUUACAAAAAGUGGUAUUGGGGGACCCCUUAUCAAUCGUUAUGGAGAAGUCAUUGGAGUCAAUUUUUAUGAUGAUGUUUGUACCCCUUUUCUACCGAUCAAUAUUGUUUCCCAAUGCUUGUUGGGAUUUAAAAAAAAUCGGAAAUCCCGUUGACCUUGGCUUGGCAUGGAAAUGACUAAUCUUUAUGCGGCAAGUGUAGGCAAGUUGGAAAAGAUUAUCUCAAAGUUCAAUAUCUCCAAAGGUGUUCUUGUUGAAGAGGU